rnacentral:rRNA from 1 species
GGGGAGGUAGUGACAAUAAAUAACAAUGCCGGUCUGGCAAUUGGAAUGAGUCAAUCUAAAUAACGAGAACAAGGGCAAGUCUGGUGCCUUCCAGCUCCAAUAGCGUAUAUUAAAGUUGUUGGAUUUCGGGGGCCCGGCGGUCCGCCCGAGGUGGUCCCUCUCGAAGGCUUCGACUGCUCUUGACUGUCGAGGUUCGGGACGUUUACUUUGAAAAAAUUAGAGUGUUCAAGGCAGGCUGAAUACAUUAGCAUGGAAUAAUGGAAGAGGAUUUUGUUGGUUUCCAGGCCGAAGUAAUGAUUGAGAGGGACAGUUGGGGGCAUUCGUAUUAAUUGUCAGAGGUGAAUUCUCGGAUUUAUGAAAGACGAACAAGUGCGAAAGCAUUUGCCAAGGAUGUUUCAUUAAUCAAGAACGAAAGUUUUCGAAGACGAUCAGAUACCGUCGUAGUCCCAACCAUAAACUAUGCCGACUAGGGAUCGGCGGAUGACUCCGUCGGCACCUUACGAGAAAUCAAAGUCUUUGGGUUCCGGAGUAUGGUCGCAAGGCUGAAACUUAAAGAAUUGACGGAAGGGCCAGGAGUGGAGCUUAUUUGACUCAACACGGGGAAACUCAGUCCGGACAUGGUAAGGAUUGACAGAUCGAGAGCUCUUUCUUGAUUCUAUGGGUGGUGGUGGGCCGUUCUUAGUGGUGGAGUGAUUUUCUGGUUAAUUCCGUUAACGAACGAGACCUUAACCUGCUAACUAGUCACCCGAACGACUUCUUAGAGGGACAACCGGCCGGCGAGGCAAUAACAGGUCUGUGAUGCCCUUAGAUGUUCUGGGCCGCACGCGCGCUACACUGACGGAGGCAGCGAGCCUUCGCCGUUAGGUGCGGGGAAUCUUGUAAACUCCGUCGUGCUGGGGAUAGAUCAUUGCAAUUCUUGAUCUUGAACGAGGAAUUCCUAGUAAGCGCGAGUCAGCAGCUCGCGUUGAUUACGUCCCUGCCCUUGUACACACCGCCCGUCGCUACUACCGAUUGAAUGGUUCAGUGAGACCUUCGGAUUGAGAAAUCGGUCCGAUCAUUACA